UAAUACAUACAAUCUAAAAUAUUUAAAAAUUAGGCAUAAAUAAUUAUAUAUUUUAAAAUUUUAUUAUAAUUAAAAUAUAAACUUAUGAAUUUACACCGAACGAGUGUUAAGAUCAGCAUUAUUGUUUGUAAUCAAAACUUGCAUAUCUAAUACAACUGAUCACAUAUGAAAAUGUAUCUAAAACUUUCUUAUUUAAUUAAUUAAAAUAUAUUGUUAUUUACUUUAUAAAAUAUAUAUUUAAUUAUUUAUAAAGAAGAUAAAUGAGCCCGUUGCGUAGCACGAGUUCCUUAACUAGUUUGUAAUUAAUUCAGAACUGAAGCCUGUGUAUCUGUCUGAGUUUAAGGAAACUCGAGAUCACGCCUCCAAAGGAAAAAUUCUAGAAGCAAGGGGUAUAUUGAUAACGUGACGUAACAAUCCAAUUAAAUAUAUUCUUUUAAGGGUAUAUGUCCCAUCAUGAUUAUAGAAAAAUAUUUCUAUUGUACUUUUGUUUGAAAAGAAGUAAUAUAAUUGGCUUGUUAUUGAUGAUGUGGUGACAGUGUAGAAUUCCUCCCUCCAAAAACCCUUUGGAGGGUUUGGAUGGUGUCCCAGUUUGCACCGUACCUGAGGAGUGUAAAACAAACGUUACACAACUGCACGGGACAUAUUGAGCUUGGGUCCUUUUUAUUUGUAUUAAUUAUUCGAUAAAAGUACUGUUUUCUUUACUUUUAUAUAUAUUUAGAGACGGAGAGAAAUGAUUCGGAACUUUACUUUAUAAAAAAUAAAAAAAAAUUAACCGUUGAUCAAUAGAGGGUAAAGAUGUAAUUUUAGUAGGUAAAUGGUUACUUUAUUCGAGAUUAUUUUUGUAAUUAAACUUUGCAAUAUUUAAAGAAAAAUUAAAAUUGAUAUCCUAAAUUUACGCAUUAAUUUGCACUAAUUUGAUGAAUUGAUGGAUAACCCAAAUUUAGGUAUUAAUAUAGGCAUUUAUUUUAGAUAUUUUAGUGUUUCUCAAAUUUAGGCAUUAAUUUAAAUUAUAGAAAUUUUAGAAAUAUUAAAUAUUAAACAUUAAAUAUUAAAUAUUAAAUAUUAAAUAUUUAAAUUUAAGUUAGAGGAAUUUUGUAUUACUGUUUAAAAAAUUUGUAAUGUUGGUAAAUAUUUUAAUU
rnacentral:lncRNA from 1 species